CCGGUGGCGGAUGGGCAUGCGUGACAUUAGCUAGUCGGCGGGGUAACGGCCCACCGAGGCGACGAUGUCUAGGGGUUCUGAGAGGAAGGUCCCCCACACUGGUACUGAGACACGGACCAGACUCCUACGGGAGGCAGCAGUGAGGAAUAUUGGUCAAUGGGCUUACGCCUGAACCAGCCAAGUCGCGUGAGGGAAGACUGCCCUAUGGGUUGUAAACCUCUUUUGUCAGGGAGCAACGCCGGCUACGUGUAGCCGGACUGAGAGUACCUGAAGAAAAAGCAUCGGCUAACUCCGUGCCAGCAGCCGCGGUAAUACGGAGGAUGCGAGCGUUAUCCGGAUUUAUUGGGUUUAAAGGGUGCGUAGGCGGAAUGCCAAGUCAGCGGUAAAAUCGCGGGGCUCAACCUCGCUCCGCCGUUGAAACUGGCGUUCUUGAGUGGGCGAGAAGUAUGCGGAAUGCGUGGUGUAGCGGUGAAAUGCAUAGAUAUCACGCAGAACUCCGAUUGCGAAGGCAGCAUACCGGCGCCCAACUGACGCUGAAGCACGAAAGCGUGAGUAUCGAACAGGAUUAGAUACCCUGGUAGUCCACGCAGUAAACGAUGAAUACUAGCUGUUCGGGGCAAAUGAGCCUUG
rnacentral:rRNA from 1 species